CAGGGACUGAAGGGAGGAGAGGACCUGAUUGAGGGAGAGGCAAUUUCUCUCAUCUGCUGGAUGUAAAUAAAGAAGUCAGCGGGCCUUACUGUAACCAGCAGCUGUCCUACAACCCAGAGGGGAACCAGUCACCCAUCGUAGAAUGAUACAAACCCUGUGGUUACAGAGCAAAGAGAUAGAACCUAUGUUCUUGAUGACACAAUUCUGGAGGCUGGGAAUCCAGGAUCAAGGCUCCAGCAGAUUCAUUGUCUGCUGAGACAGACAUGGAAGCUUGUAGGUGGCCAAUCUUUGUUUGCUGUAUCCUCACACAGAGAAAGAGCUGCGUUUGGUCUUCGUUGCUGCAUGCAGGCUUUCUCUAGCUGAGCUGGGGCUACUCUUCGGACUGACUGAUAAAUCAACUAUAUUAAAAUUAAGAAUGUGUAUUCCUUACAAAAACAGUAGAGUAAAAACAGAUCACAAAUUGGGAGAAGAUAUUUUCAACAUAUGUAAUCAUAAAGAUUAGAGUCCAGAAUAUAAAAGAAUUCUAUGAAUCAAUAAGAAUGACAGUUUAUCAGGGCUUCCCUGGUGGUGCAGUGGUUGAGAGUCCGCCUGCCGAUGCAGGGGACACGGGUUCGUGCCCCAGUCCGGGAAGAUCCCACAUGCCGCGGAGCGGCUGGGCCCGUGAGCCAUGGCCGCUGAGCCUGCGCGUCUGGAGCCUGUGCUCUGCAACGGGAGAGGCCACAACAGUGAGAGGCCCGCGUACCGCAAAAAAAAAAAAAAAAAAAAGAAUGACAAUUUAUCAGAAAAAAUUGAGCAAAAGACAUAAACAGACGGCACAGAAGAAGAAACAAAAAUGACUCAUAAAGCCAUGUAAAGAUACUUAACCUUAAUAGUAAUCUAGACAAUUUAAAUAAGAAAUACGAUACACUGUUUCACACUCAAAAGACUGGCAAAAAUAAAAAAAGAUUUACAAAACCAGGUUUGGUCAAGGAAGCCAAGCAAUGUCAAUCAACUCUCAUGCAUGAGGUUCAGAGAACAAAUGGAUACAAUCACUUUGGGAGACUGUUAGCAUUACUUUGUAAAGUUGAACAUCCCCUGUAACCCAGCAAAUUCACUCCUGGAUAUAUACCUUGGGAAGGAAAAAUGUGCAUGGUAGCGCUGUUGAUAACAACAGUAGAAGAAACAUGAUGCAAUUCAAAUGUCCUUCUAUAAUAGAAUAGUAAAUAAAUUGUGGGUUAUUCCUAUAAUGGAGUACUACAGUUGGCCCUCCGUAUCCUUGGCUUCUACAUUUGCAGAUUCAAUCAAUCACCGAUUGAAAAUAUUUUGGGGGAAAAAAAUUCCAGAAAGGUCCAAAAGGCAACACUUGAAUUUGCUGUGGACUGGUGACCGUUUACACAGCAUUUACAUUGUAUUCACAACUAUUUACAUAGCAUUUACAUUGUAUUGGGUAUUAUAAGUAAUCUAGAGGUGAUUUAGCGGAAGGACAUGUGUAGGCUUUAUGCAAAUACUAUGCCAUUUUAUAUAAGGGACUUGAGCAUCUGUAGAUUUUGGUAUCUGAGGUCGGUCCUGGAACCAAUCCCCUGAGGAUAUCAAGGACGACUGUAUACAAAAGUAAAAAUGAAUGAACUAGACCUACACACAUUAGCAUGGAUGAAUCUCAAAAAUGAUGGCGUUGAGUGAAAAAAGCAAGUCAGUAAAUACAUACAGUAUGAUCCAUUUUAUAUACAAUUUGAACAGAGGAAAAGGGAAGUCAUUUAUUGUUUGGGGUUACAUAUAUAGGUGAUAAAAUUAAAAGGAGAAAAUAUGAAUAAUUUAAAAGAUAAUGAUUACCUUGAGGAGGGUUACGUGCAUAGAUUUGAUUGGGGAGAGUCAUUCACGGAGGUUUCAAGGUAUUUAUUGGUAAUAUUCUAUUUUGUGACCUAUGUGGUUGGUACAUGGGUGUUCAGCUUAUUAUGAUUGUUUAUCUUUAUACACUCUCUUGUAUAUAUAUAACCUACUU